rnacentral:hammerhead_ribozyme from 1 species
ACCCAACUGAUGAGUCCUGAACAGGACGAAAUGCGCAUCCUGGAU